rnacentral:rRNA from 1 species
ACGAAGGGUGCAAGCGUUAAUCGGAAUCACUGGGCGUAAAGGGUGCGUAGGCUGCGCCGUAAGUCAGAUGUGAAAGUUCAGGGCUCAACCCUGAAAUUGCAUCCGAUACUGCGGUGCUUGAGAAAUGAAGAGGAGUCUAGAAUUUUCGGUGUAGCAGUGAAAUGCGUAGAUAUCGAAAGGAAUACCAAAGGCGAAGGCAGGACUCUGGGCAUUUUCUGACGCUGAUGCACGAAGGCCAGGGUAGCGAACGGGA